CUGAGAAAAAUCAGCAGGGAGAGGACAGGCUUUGUUUGGCUUGGAGAUUAUAGUCCGCCAUCAAGGGAAGUCAAGGCAGGAACCAGGAGAGAGAAACUGAAACAGAGGCUUCAGGGGAGGAAUGCUGCUUACUCGCUUGCACAGACACUUUAAAUAACCCAGGACCAUCUACCCAGGCACGGGCUGGGCCCUCCUACGUCAAUCAUCAAUCAAGACAACUCCCCACAGACACGCCCUACAGGCCAAUCUGAAGGAGGCAGUCCUUGAUUGAUGUCCUUUCUCCCAGCUGCGUCCAGGUUUGUGUCAACUCGACACGAGCUAUGACAUCUACCAAACCUAUGCAUUCAAAUCCAAUCUCCAGCACUUCAGAAUGUAUCCUGAUGUGAAAAUGAGGAGGCCAUGGAUAUAAUUAGUUAAGAUGAAGUCACCAGAGUACGGUGGAAUCCAAAAUCACUACAGACCUUAUUCAAGGGAAAACUUGGACACCAAGGUGCAUACUAUAUAAGAGUGAAGAUAGAGAUCAAGCAUGCUGCUGUGAGCCAAAGAUGCUAACAGGUCUGGGCAGCCGGGAAAUGAAUGAGCAAUUUUCGUCUACAGACAUCCAUCAGUGAAACAUUAUUCAGAAGAAGCUGAAGUUGACUCCAUACUGAUUCCUCUAACCUUGAGCCGCUGCUGAGUGAACCAUCCCGACCUCCGCCUUGUAUGUCAUCCCCACUCUAGCCGUGAGAAGCCUGAUUCUCGUCCUCCACUGUCAGACACUUCACUAGAGGCCUGACUCGUCCUCCACCGCCAGACUCUUCACUGUUAGAACACUUAACUCCUAGCCUCAGAAUGUACACUCGCAAGGAAAACAAUUAUUUUAAAUUGCAUUUUU